UACGUAGGGUGCAGGCGUUAAUCGGAAUUACUGGGCGUAAAGCGUGCGCAGGCGGUUUUCUAAGCCAGGUGUGAAAUCCCCGGGCUUAACCUGGGAACUGCGCUUGUAACUGGCAAGCUAGAGUGUGGCAGAGGGGGGUGGAAUUCCACGUGUAGCAGUGAAAUGCGUAGAGAUGUGGAGGAACACCGAUGGCGAAGGCAGCCCCCUGGGCUAACACUGACGCUCAUGCACGAAAGCGUGGGGAGCAAACAGG
rnacentral:rRNA from 1 species